CCCGCACAAGCGGUGGAGCAUGUGGUUUAAUUCGAUGCAACGCGAAGAACCUUACCAGGUCUUGACAUCCCGAUGCUAUUUCUAGAGAUAGAAAGUUACUUCGGUACAUCGGUGACAGGUGGUGCAUGGUUGUCGUCAGCUCGUGUCGUGAGAUGUUGGGUUAAGUCCCGCAACGAGCGCAACCCCUAUUGUUAGUUGCCAUCAUUCAGUUGGGCACUCUAGCGAGACUGCCGGUAAUAAACCGGAGGAAGUGGGAUGACGUCAAAUCAUCAUGCCCCUUAUGACCUGGGCUACACACGUGCUACAAUGGUUGGUACAACGAGUUGCGAGUCGGUGACGGCGAGCUAAUCUCUUAAAGCCAAUCUCAGUUCGGAUUGUAGGCUGCAACUCGCCUACAUGAAGUCGGAAUCGCUAGUAAUCGCGGAUCAGCACGCCGCGGUGAAUACGUUCCCGGGCCUU
rnacentral:rRNA from 1 species